AAGAGUUGAAACUCCUUCGGGAGCCAUCUCCACCCUGUGCGAACACACUUUGUUGCUUUGGCGGGCCGCGGCCCCGCUGCCGCCGGCUUUUAGCUGGCGAGCGCCCGCCGGAGACCUUUAAAAUUCUGAUUUACCUGACGUCUGAAUGAAAAAACAAAUAUAAA
rnacentral:misc_RNA from 1 species